GAUGAAGAACGUAGCGAAAUGCGAUACGUAGUGUGAAUUGCAGAAUUCAGUGAAUCAUCGAAUCUUUGAACGCACAUUGCGCCCCUUGGUAUUCCAUGGGGCAUGCCUGUUCGAGCGUCAUUUGUACCUUCAAGCUCUGCUUGGUGUUGGGUGUUUGUCUCGCCUCUGCGUGUAGACUCGCCUUAAAACAAUUGGCAGCCGGCGUAUUGAUUUCGGAGCGCAGUACAUCUCGCGCUUUGCACUCAUAACGACGACGUCCAAAAGUACAUUUUUACACUCUUGACCUCGGAUCGGUAGGGAUACCCGCUGAACUUAAGCAUAUCAAUAAGCGGAGGA
rnacentral:misc_RNA from 1 species